CAUAUCUGUACCGAGGACUGCUUACUGCCCUCUGCUGUCCAUUGUAUAUUUAGCACUUUGCCUCUGAUUGUGGUCUCCGGUUAGAUGAGCAGUGGCUCUGUGAUAUCUCGUAUUGAAAACCACCCUAUGGAAUAGACUUGCUUGCAUUGUACCAGGCCUAAGAGAAGUCACUCUGCAAAAGGCCAUUGAAGCCAUUUGUAAAACCAUCACAUGCGUGUGUGUGAAUAUAUAUAUAAAUAAAUAUACAUUGUGCAUACAUUACACACAUAGACAAGGCAAUGUAGGACUCUGGAAAACCAUAUACAUGUAUUGGGGGUUAUGCUUCACUAAGUCUCUGCAUCACUUU